UAAGACAGAGGUGCCAAGCGUUAGGCGGAAUCACUGGGCUUAAAGCGUGUGUAGGCGGAUGUCUAAGUACCUUGUGAAAUCCCACGGCUCAACCGUGGAACUGCUGGGUAUACUGGAUGUCUUGAGCCAGCUAGGGGCUACCGGAACAAAUGGUGGAGCGGUGAAAUGCGUAGAUAUCAUUUGGAACGCCAAUGGUGAAAACAGGUAGCUGGGGCUGUGCUGACGCUGAGACACGAAAGCCAGGGGAGCGAACGGGAUUAGAUACCCCGGUAGUCCUGGCCGUAAACGAUGUCCACUAGAUCGUGGUCCCUCUGAAGGGUUCACGGUCGAAGCAAAAGUGCUAAGUGGACCGCCUGGGAAGUACGGUCGCAAGGCUA
rnacentral:rRNA from 1 species